rnacentral:misc_RNA from 1 species
AAAGUCGUAACAAGGUUUCCGUAGGUGAACCUGCGGAAGGAUCAUUAUUAUUGUGGCCAUUAGGCGCAGCUGGGGGCUGGUCGUCGAAAGUUAAAGGAGAUCUUAGUCGGUCUAUAUGCACGUGAAUAGAUUCCCAACACGACGGGGUGUCCACCGGGACGCGACCUGCUUCUCCGCGACCAGCCCUGACCGAUAUACCCAUGAUUUUUGCGCACCUAUUGUUUCCUCGGCAGGCUUGCCUGCCAGCAGGACCCUUUUAAAACCCAUUGCAGUUGCAGUCAGCGUCAGAUAAACUUAUAAUAGUUACAACUUUCAACAACGGAUCUCUUGGUUCUG